AGCGAACGCUGGCGGCAGGCUUAACACAUGCAAGUCGAGCGCCCCGCCAGGGGAGCUGCAGACGGGAGAGUAGCACGUGGGAACAUACCUUUUGGUUCGGAACAACUGAGGGAAACUUCAGCUAAUACCGGAUAAGCCCUUACGGGGCAAGAUUUAUCGCCGAAGGAUUGGCCCGCGUCUGAUUAGCUAGUUGGUGGGGUAACGGCUCACCAAGGCGACGAUCAGUAGCUGGUCUGAGAGGAUGAUCAGCCUCACUGGGACUGAGACACGGCCCAGACUCCUACGGGAGGCAGCAGUGGGGAAUAGUGGACAACGGGGGCAGCCCUGAUCCAGCCAUGCCGCGUGAGUGAUGAAGGUCGGAGGGUUGUAAAGCUCUUUUGCCCGGGAAGAUAAUGACGGUACCGGGAGAAUAAGCCCCGGCUAACUUCGUG
rnacentral:rRNA from 1 species